rnacentral:rRNA from 1 species
GUGAGGAAUAUUGGACAAUGGGCGCAAGCCUGAUCCAGCCAUGCCGCGUGCAGGAAGACGCAUCUAUGGUGUGUAAACUGCUUUUGUACGGGAAGAAACACUCCCUCGUGAGGGAGCUUGACGGUACCGUAAGAAUAAGGAUCGGCUAACUCCGUGCCAGCAGCCGCGGUAAUACGGAGGAUCCAAGCGUUAUCCGGAAUCAUUGGAUUUAAAGGGUCCGUAGGCGGUUUAAUAAGUCAGUGGUGAAAGCCCAUCGCUCAACGAUGGAACGGCCAUUGAUACUGUUAGACUUGAAUUACAAGGAAGUAACUAGAAUAUGUAGUGUAGCGGUGAAAUGCUUAGAUAUUACAUGGAAUACCAAUUGCGAAGGCAGGUUACUACUUGUGGAUUGACGCUGAUGGACGAAAGCGUGGGGAGCGAACAGGAUUAGAUACCCCGGUAGUCC